GGGCGGCCAGCCAGAUACAAUACAGCAACAAGAAAGAUUCUUUCCCCCCCUCCAGCCCCUGCCAUCGGGUCCGCCGGCGGCGAGCCACAAUGGCGGCCUCCCCCAUCGACUCCGCCUGGGAGUCCCUGAUCGGCAACUUCAGCGAGUUCCAGCUGGCCAGCGUCGUGACCUUCGUCCUGCACGAGAGCGUCUUCUUCCUCUCCGGCAUCCCGUCCCUCCUCUUCGAGCGAUUCGGACUCUUCGCCAAGUACAAGAUCCAG